CAAGCGGUGGAGCAUGUGGUUUAAUUCGAUGCAACGCGAAGAACCUUACCUACUCUUGACAUCCAGAGAAUUUAGCAGAGAUGCUUUAGUGCCUUCGGGAACUCUGAGACAGGUGCUGCAUGGCUGUCGUCAGCUCGUGUUGUGAAAUGUUGGGUUAAGUCCCGCAACGAGCGCAACCCUUAUCCUUUGUUGCCAGCACGUAAUGGUGGGAACUCAAAGGAGACUGCCGGUGAUAAACCGGAGGAAGGUGGGGAUGACGUCAAGUCAUCAUGGCCCUUACGAGUAGGGCUACACACGUGCUACAAUGGCGCAUACAAAGAGAAGCGACCUCGCGAGAGCAAGCGGACCUCAUAAAGUGCGUCGUAGUCCGGAUUGGAGUCUGCAACUCGACUCCAUGAAGUCGGAAUCGCUAGUAAUCGUAAAUCAGAAUGUUACGGUGAAUACGUUCCCGGGCCUUGUACACACC
rnacentral:rRNA from 1 species